rnacentral:rRNA from 1 species
UACGGAGGGAGCAAGCGUUACUCGGAAUUAUUGGGCGUAAAGGGCGCGUAGGCGAUCCUGUAAGUCACGUGUGAAAUCCCAGGGCUUAACCCUGGAAUGGCAAGAGAAACUGCUGGAAUUGAGUUCCGGAGAGGAAGGCAGAAUUCCCGGUGUAGCGGUGAAAUGCGUAGAUAUCGGGAGGAAUACCAGUGGCGAAGGCGGCCUUCUGGACGGAUACUGACGCUGAGGCGCGAAAGCCAGGGGAGCAAACGGG